CCUACGGGUGGCAGCAGUGGGGAAUAUUGGACAAUGGGGGGAACCCUGAUCCAGCGACGCCGCGUGAGUGAAGAAGUAUUUCGGUAUGUAAAGCUCUAUCAGCAGGGAAGAAAAUGACGGUACCUGACUAAGAAGCCCCGGCUAACUACGGGCCAGCAGCCGCGGUAAUACGUAGGAGGCGAGCGUUAUCCGGAAUGACUGGGCGUAAAGGGGUCGUAGGGGGGUUGGCAAGUUAGGAGCGUAACUCCAAGGCUCAACCUUGGAACUACUACUAAAACUGUUGGACUUGAGUGCAGGAGGGGCAACCGGAAUUCCUAGUGUAGCGGUGGAAUGCGUAGAUAUUAGGAGGAACACCAGUGGCGAAGGCGGGUUGCUAGACUGUAACUGACACUGAGGCACGAAAGCGUGGGGAGCAAACAGGAUUAGAUACCCUUGUAGUC
rnacentral:rRNA from 1 species